AGAGUUUGAUCCUGGCUCAGGACGAACGCUGGCGGCGUGCUUAACACAUGCAAGUCGAGCGGUAAGGCCCUUCGGGGUACACGAGCGGCGAACGGGUGAGUAACACGUGGGUGACCUGCCCUCAGCUCUGGGAUAAGCCUGGGAAACUGGGUCUAAUACCGGAUAUGACCUCUCAUCGCAUGGUGGGUGGUGGAAAGUUUUUCGGCUGGGGAUGGGCCCGCGGCCUAUCAGCUUGUUGGUGGGGUGAUGGCCUACCAAGGCGACGACGGGUAGCCGGCCUGAGAGGGCGACCGGCCACACUGGGACUGAGACACGGCCCAGACUCCUACGGGAGGCAGCAGUGGGGAAUAUUGCGCAAUGGGCGGAAGCCUGACGCAGCGACGCCGCGUGGGGGAUGACGGCCUUCGGGUUGUAAACCUCUUUCGACCGGGACGAAGCGGAAGUGACGGUACCGGUAGAAGAAGCACCGGCCAACUACGUGCCAGCAGCCGCGGUAAUACGUAGGGUGCGAGCGUUGUCCGGAAUUAUUGGGCGUAAAGAGCUCGUAGGCGGUGUGUCGCGUCGGUCGUGAAAACUUGGGGCUUAACCCUGAGCUUGCGGUCGAUACGGGCAUCACUGGAGUUCGGCAGGGGAGACUGGAAUUCCUGGUGUAGCGGUGAAAUGCGCAGAUAUCAGGAGGAACACCGGUGGCGAAGGCGGGUCUCUGGGCCGAUACUGACGCUGAGGAGCGAAAGCGUGGGGAGCGAACAGGAUUAGAUACCCUAGUAGUCC
rnacentral:rRNA from 1 species